AAUUUAUACACUAUCACGGACCUGUAAUUUAUAUUGCUAAUUUAUUACAAUUCUGCAAAGUUUUAUGAUUUUAGCAGCUUUUCUAAUAUGGACCUCAGAUUCUUGUUAACGCUGCAUGGCAGAAAUACAUACAAGUACACAGCCUGAUGAAGCAGACAGAAGCAGUACCUCUGAUUGGUUAAAGUAUUACUCCUCCAUAAUAGUAUUUCUGUUAAAUCAAAGUAUUUUUGCCAAAUCAUGGUUUUUGUGCCAAAACAUAACAUUUCUGUUAAGCUAUAGUAUUACUAAUAAGUGGAGGAAUUUCUGUCAUGUUAUAGUAUAUGUGCUGAUUACAGUAUAUCUGCCAAAUCAUAGUAUUUAUCCCGAAUCAUAGUAUUUUACAGUAUUUCUGCUAAAAAGCAGAACUAGUACCUUUUAGCAGGAAUUUCUGUCAAAAGAUAUUAGUUAUGUUAAAACAUAGUAUUUCUGCUAAAUCAUAGUACUUCUGCCAAAUCAUAGCAUUUCUUCAAAAUCAUA
rnacentral:lncRNA from 1 species